UGAGGAAUAUUGGUCAAUGGGCGAGAGCCUGAACCAGCCAAGUAGCGUGCAGGAUGACGGCCCUAUGGGUUGUAAACUGCUUUUAUAUGGGAAUAAAGUGAGGGACGUGUCCCUUAUUGCAUGUACCAUACGAAUAAGGACCGGCUAAUUCCGUGCCAGCAGCCGCGGUAAUACGGAAGGUCCAGGCGUUAUCCGGAUUUAUUGGGUUUAAAGGGAGCGUAGGCGGUUUGUUAAGCGUGUUGUGAAAUGUACCGGCUCAACCGGUGAAUUGCAGCGCGAACUGUUUGGCUUGAGUGCACGGUAAGCAGGCGGAAUUCAUGGUGUAGCGGUGAAAUGCUUAGAUAUCAUGAAGAACUCCGAUUGCGAAGGCAGCUUGCUGCAGUGCGACUGACGCUGAUGCUCGAAGGUGCGGGUAUCAAACAGG
rnacentral:rRNA from 1 species